AACUCCAAAACCAUCCUUUGCUAUCGCCCAAGACCACCGACCUUCCACUGUCGGCACUGUUUUCCGGCAACCCGUCUUUCUUUCUCAAUCGUUUAGUUAUGGUUUGUUUCUAUUCAUCCUUACCAAGUUUUUUCUCUUAUUUAUUCUUCUUUUAAGUUGUUUCAAUGGUUGUUUUCAUUCUUAUUUUGAACAUUUUUAGUUUUGAUUUUUUUUUUCUGUGUUGUUUCAUUGAAUUAUUGUUUAUAUAUUAUGUUUAUUUGUUUUAAACACCAUGCCUAGUUGGUGAAGGAGAAGGGAUUUUUUUUUAAAAUUUUGACUUGAUUUUUUCUUUUAUUUGAGAUUGAUUUUGAUGUGGUUUCUGCACUAUAGCCUUAAAAUCUGACUUAAUUAUAAUGAAUAAAUUUUUGCAAGAAAAAAUAUAAUUAUCACGGGGAUUCAUUUUUAUAGUUCGUCCGGGCCGAACCUGUCUCAAGCAGCAUUUUUAGUAUUAUUAUUUAUGAUGUUAUUGAGUAUCUCAAGCAUUUAUAGAUUCUAGUAUAGUUAGUUGUUACUGAUAUUUAGUAAUUAGUUAUUGAAUUGAAUCAAAGUUAGAAAAACUUUAACAUGUAAUAGAUGUGAAGAGAGAAGAGAAAUAGUAUGAGAAGAAAAAAAGUUGGUAUAUAUGUGAGAAUCUAGGUCGAGCAGAAACUUGCCAAUUUCAAUUUAAUCAUUUUCAUGGACUCUUAAUCUUGAUGCAUACAUGAUCUUAAUGGACUCUUAAUCUUAAGCUGAAUCAAGUCUUACAACACCUAGAGAAGAUGGUGAGAGGAUAGAUAAUAUAUUUUGGGCUGUUUUUUCAUAUAGUAUUUGUUUUGGCAAAAUACAUCUAGUAGUCAUAGUUCUUGAAGUUUCGCAAAAAUAUCAGAUUAGUGCUUUAUUUUUUUCUGUAUCGAAUUAGUCCUUUGUGUUUGUAAAAGUUACAAUGUUAAACUAUUUUUAAUCCUAACUUCAUUUCAAUCAUUUUUAUGUAGAGAUUUUAAAAAAUCUACUUUAAGUUUUGUUAUCAAUCAUAUUAAUAAAAACAUAAUAAUUUUCCGGUGAUUUCAUGAUUCUAAAUUAAGAGAAUUCCGCGUUUAAUUUUAAAAAUUUGAAAAUGUCUCUCAGUUGAAUUAUCUCUCGUUUAAUUAUUUUUCUAUAAAUUGAUUGAAGAUUUAUGUUCUUAUGAUUAUUGCAGUCAAAAGCUCCUUAAGAAUAGCAUGAGUUUAUUGAAAAAGUUGGAAAAAAAUUGAAUUUCAUUUUAGGUGGUUUGAAAUUGGGAUCAAACAUAAAAGACAAACUUGAUGCUAAAAUAAAGAUAAACGACCACACAAUGUAUUUUACCUAUUUUAUUCAAGCUUGGAAGAAAUCCAGUCUUGUUUCAACUCUCGAUUUGGACUUUUCUUACUGCUACCAUUGAUUCAAUGCUGCUACCAUUGAUUCAAUGGAUUUGUAUUUGUUUUACAUUUUGUAUAUUUUUCUAUGCUUGGUCCAUGUUGAUAACCUUGUCUUCCAUCUAAAUUCUGAAUUUGCUUUAUUAAAAAUAAAAAAUUUAUUUUCUGAACAUUUGCCAAGUUAUUAUUGUUGUUAUUGGUGGAUAAAUCUGAAAUAGAAUUUCACGCUUCUCUGUCUCAACGGUUUAGAGCUAGACAUCUCGUAGCACGCAGUAACUGCGUAAUGCACGUGACUAUUGAGCUAGUGGAAGCUACUGGAGUAGCUGGUUCGUCCGGUUUUGGAGCAAACGGAAACCAGAUCGAAUAUUUCUUGACUGAGCUUGUUCUCCACCCGCGAGGGUUUGUGCUUGCGGUUCUUCUUCCGGUGAAGAUUGGGAUUGCGGCGGUUUCUCUGCAAAUAAAGCGGUGCCGUGUCUCAUUGACUAUUCGAGUUUGAACUAAGGUGAUGAUGUGAAACAAAACUAAGUCAUCCAACUUUCAUAUUAUCAAUUUCAAAUUAUAAAUACUCGUG
rnacentral:lncRNA from 1 species